UAGGGAAUCUUCCACAAUGGGCGAAAGCCUGAUGGAGCAACGUCGCGUGUGUGAUGAAGGCUUUCGGGUCGUAAAGCACUGUUGUAUGGGAAGAACAGCUAGAAUAGGAAAUGAUUUUAGUUUGACGGUACCAUACCAGAAAGGGACGGCUAAAUACGUGCCAA
rnacentral:rRNA from 1 species